UGAUCAGCUCUUGUGGUUUCUCUUUGACCAGAUGAAUCAUCUCAGAGAAAUAUCAUCAUCAUUGCUGUCAUUUCUGUUGUGAUUUCCAUCAUAAUUGCUGCUUUAGCAUUUGCUGCUUUCAAGAAGAAAAAUGAUAGACCAGUCAUCUCUGAGUCUGAAAUCAUACCAUUGAGAAACUGACUUCAAAAUCCAGAUCAAGAAAUCUAACAUCCUGCUCUGCCUUCACAUGUCCAUUUAACAUAUGUACUAUAUGUGUAUUAAUAUAAUCUAAUAAGUACCCUAAUUGCUUUUUCAUUAAGCAGGUAUUAUUUUUCAUUA